AACGUACGCUGGCGGCACGCCUAACACAUGCAAGUCGAACGAAGUAGCAAUACUUAGUGGCAGACGGGUGAGUAACAUGUAGGUAUCUGCCCUUUGGCCUGGAAUAACACGAGGAAACUUGUGCUAAUACCGGAUAAGUCUUUACGGAGAAAGCUUUAUGCACCAUUGGAUGAGCCUGCACUUGAUUAGUUUGUUGGUGGGGUAAUGGCCUACCAAGACUGUGAUCAAUAGCUGAUUUGAGAGGAUGAUCAGCCACAUUGGGACUGAGACACGGCCCAAACUCCUACGGGAGGCAGCAGUGGGGAAUCUUGCACAAUGGAGGAAACUCUGAUGCAGCGAUGCCGCGUGAGUGAAGAAGGCCUUUGGGUUGUAAAGCUCUUUCGUCGGGGAAGAAAAUGACUGUACCCGAAUAAGAAGGUCCGGCUAACUUCGUGCCAGCAGCCGCGGUAAUACGAAGGGACCUAGCGUAGUUCGGAAUUACUGGGCUUAAAGAGUUCGUAGGUGGUUGAAAAAGUUGGUGGUGAAAUCCCAGAGCUUAACUCUGGAACUGCCAUCAAAACUUUUCAGCUAGAGUAUGAUAGAGGAAAGUAGAAUUUCUAGUGUAGAGGUGAAAUUCGUAGAUAUUAGAAAGAAUACCGAUUGCGAAGGCAGCUUUCUGGAUCAUUACUGACACUGAGGAACGAAAGCAUGGGUAGCGAAGAGGAUUAGAUACCCUCGUAGUCCAUGCCGUAAACGAUGUGUGUUAGACGUUGGAAAUUUAUUUUCAGUGUCGCAGCGAAAGCGAUAAACACACCGCCUGGGGAGUACGACCGCAAGGUUA
rnacentral:rRNA from 1 species